rnacentral:rRNA from 1 species
UACGGAGGGUGCAAGCGUUAUCCGGAUUCACUGGGUUUAAAGGGUGCGUAGGUGGGCAAGUAAGUCAGUGGUGAAAUCUCCGGGCUUAACCCGGAAACUGCCAUUGAUACUAUUUGUCUUGAAUACUGUGGAGGUCAGCGGAAUAUGUCAUGUAGCGGUGAAAAUGCUUAGAUAUGACAUAGAACACCAAAUUGCGAAGGCAGCUGGCUACACAAUUAUUGACACUGAGGCACGAAAGCGUGGGGGAUCAAAACAGGG